rnacentral:rRNA from 1 species
AACGAACGCUGGCGGCAGGCUUAACACAUGCCAGUCGAACGAGCUGGCGGCUUCGGUCCCCGAUGCUCGUGGCGCACGGGCGAGUAACACGUGGGAAUAUGCCCUUUCGUACGGAAUAACCAAGGGACACUUUGGCUAAUACCGUAUACGCCCAUCGGUGGAAAGAUUUAUCGCUAUAGGAUUAGCCCGCGUCUGAUUAGGUAGUUGGUGAGGUAAUGGCUCACCAAGCCGACGAUCAGUAGCUGGUCUGAGAGGAUGAGCAGCCACACUGGGACUGAGACACAGCCGAGAAUCCCACGGGAGGCAGCAGUGGGGAAUAUUGGACAAUCGGGGCAACCAUGAUGCAGCCAGGCCGGGUGAGUGAAGAAGGCCUUCGGGAUGAAAAGCUCUUUCGACGGGGACGAUGAUGACGGUACCCGUAUAAGAAGCCCCGGCAAACUUCGUG